GUGCAAUCCUUUAUGAAAGGUUAGAAAACAGCUCGCUAACGUUUUAGUCAAAUGAGCCCAGUUUAGAGACAAGUACAGUAUGUCUUUUUUUUGGGGGGGGGGGGGUUGAAUUGUAAUUUUCAAAGUGCUGGAAGUACAGAAUCUUGCGGUUUCAUUCACUGCUUGGGGGAGAUAGCUUCACGUCACCCUCAACUGUGCUACAUGUCUCAAAAGAGACAUGUAGCUAGCUAGCUAGCUAGUUAGCUAGCUAGCUAGAUAUCUCAUCUCCUUGCACAGUGUCGCAAGUGAAACUUGGUUGAGACAGGCAGGAAUUUGUGAGAGGGACAGGAAAAUAAUACUUU